GUUUGGUAUCACUGCGAUGCAUUGCCCGCUAGGCUCAUCUUUUUUUUUUCUUUUCGGCGCCGGCCGCUUUCUGCCGUUCACGCUUCACUCCUUCUUUUUCAUACACUCCCGGACGGGAUAAGCAGAGCUCUUGAUUUAUCGCUUCCGUGGCACGGCGUCUUGAGUCCGCCUGCAGCCCUCGAAGCCCCAGCGAGCGUCAUUCGGCCGCCUCGCUCGGUCUGAUUCGUGCAUUCGUCCGCAGCACCGUCGCUUAUCGCCUUUGUUGACAAGAGGCCACCGCCCACAAACUGUUGCCGCAUUUAAUUUCCUUGUUCUUUACCAUCCAAAGAGGCGGAAGCGAAGAGAGAAGGGCAACGCCGCUGCCACCCGCGGCUCUCACUUGUAUCUUCGCUAAGAGCAGUUUGCUCGACGUAAUUGCUCUUGGUUCAAAAAUCGUCUUUUGGCCAUCACCGCCAACACACCCCAACGCCCCCUGCUCAUCGACAAGGAAAACAGCGUUCAAGCAAAAAAAAAAAUAAAGCGAAAACACUAACGUCAGAGAUGGAAUGCGUGGCGACGAAGGCCGAACAAGCUAAGAAAGAUAAAAGAAACUUCCCUUUCUUUAUUACCAUUGUGCAUUAUCGAACCCCCGCAGCCUCCACCUCUCCUCCCUCGCUGGGCUCCCCUUUCCAUUCCACGGAGACCCACGCGCAUACAAAACGACAGCGACCUCUUUGGAGAAAAUGGAUGGCAAGGUAAUUGUGUUUCUCCGUACAAGCAGCGUGGCCCGUUUGCCGCUAUACCGUCGCCUCCGCUCGCUCAACGUAGCGCUGGUGCUGGUGCACCCCUUCACCCCAUUGCCUGCGUUUGACGGUGUCUUUUCGCACUGGCUGCAGCACGAGACGAGCGACGUGGAUGAGGUGCACCUUGCCUUGUCGGCCUUCCUGGCAUCGCGUGGGCUCGUCCCUGACGCGGUUGUGUCCUUCGACGAGUAUGCCGUCUACCAAGCGGCGUUAAUUGCCGCGCGGUUGAAUCUCACCCCGAUCCCUCUCCCACCUGCUGCGGUUCUACAGAACAACAUGAAGGAUUUGUUUCGGCUGUUCUGCAGCGAGCACGGCAUCCCGUCGCCAAAGUCGGUGCCGCUCCCUGUAGCGGCGGCGCUUCCGACACCAGGAGAGAUGAGCAAACGUGCGCGCGACGCGGAUGCGCUCUCGAUGGCGUUCGAGAAGGCUCGGCCGGCGCUGAUCAAGACUAUUUCCAAGACAAUAGAGGCCGCGGCGCUCGCGUUCCCAGUGGUGCUAAAGCCCAGUCCAGGGGCUGGAAGCCUGCUAACCCGCUUGUGCUCCACCCUGGACGACGCGGUGGCGCAUGUGUGGUACAUGUGGACGAUGCUCGCGAGCCAUCCAGACACACGGCACUUUGCCGCCCUCACCAAGAGUGCAGCGGCUGGACCUGUGCGCGAAGAAGGCGCGGCCGCUGUGCACAUACUCGCGGAGGAGUUCAUUGAGGGACAGGAGGUCGACAUGGACUGCGUUGUCGAGCACGGCGUCGUGCGCUUCUGCUCCAUCUCGGACAACUUCGAACCGUCUCUGCCGUACUUUGCUGAGGUUGGCGGGAUUUGCCCAUCACAGCUGGGGCACCGCGGCCAGUGUGCCCUGCGUGAAUUGCUCGACUUAUACGUCUCCGCGCACGGAGCGCACUUGCACGGCGUUAUUCAUUUUGAAGCCAAAUACGACCCAGCACGCCAGCGAGCCUACGUGAUUGAGGUGAACUGUCGGCCUGGAAGCGCGGAAACGAACGUUAUGGUUCAAACUGUGUAUCGUGGGUUGAACCUGGGUGAGGCGCUGGUGCGCUGUGCGUUGCAGAUGCCUAUCCAGGAGCAACUGGCAGGCCUUUUCCCAGAGCUUCUAGCCGGCCAGCAAGAAGAAGGUGGGGUGCAGAUGCUGUGGCAGACGGCGACUCCACCGCGCCAUUCCGAGGCGGACGCAAACGAGGGUAUCCCGAUCUCCGCUGCACGCACAGCGGUGUGGUCGCUGCUCGGCGGCCCGUCUCGCGGCUUCUUUCCACCACAGUGCUGGGCGGCGUCUGUGAACAUUUAUCCGAACCAGGCUGGGGUGCUGAGUAAGGCACGUGUUCCGGUAGAGGACGCUUCGCUCGUUGCCUUCUCCGUCUCGGCGAGGCCGGGUGAGGCCGUGGCACCGCCGCCGAAGCAAUUCUACAUGCUUUGCUGGAUGGUGGUCCGAGGCGCGACCGACGAGGAGGCGAAGGCGAACAUCUGGCGAGUGACGAGCACAUUUGAGCAGGAGGUGGCGCCGCCGUUCUGAUGCAGGUGUGAUGUCUCGAAACGGGAGCGCAUACAUAAACGCAAAGCUGCGAAGCAUUCGCAAAGUGCGCGGCCACGGCGGCGCCGGUAAAGGGUAAGGGCGAACGCGCCGUGCUCGUGUCCCUAUGCGCGUUUUUGCUCGAGAACGUGAACGCUUUCGCUUCCAUUUUUUCUCUCGCCUUUCUUGCACCUCCAUGUUGUGGGGAGGUCGAGUAAAGUGGGGGAGGGGGCGGAGAGGUUCUAUACUGCCGGGGAUGUGCGCCAGCGCACACGUGCUUGACGGGUGUCCUUAUUAUUCACUGAUAUUUUUCUCUUCACGUCUUUGCUCCCUGAUAAAG
rnacentral:misc_RNA from 1 species